CCUACGGGAGGCAGCAGUGGGGAAUUUUGGACAAUGGGGGCAACCCUGAUCCAGCAAUGCCGCGUGAGUGAAGAAGGCCUUCGGGUUGUAAAGCUCUUUUGUCAGGGAAGAAACAGCAGCUCUAACACAGCUGUGAAUGACGGUACCUGAAGAAUAAGCACCGGCUAACUACGUGCCAGCAGCCGCGGUAAUACGUAGGGUGCAAGCGUUAAUCGGAAUUACUGGGCGUAAAGCGUGCGCAGGCGGUUAUACAAGACAGGCGUGAAAUCCCCGGGCUUAACCUGGGAAUUGCGUCUGUGACUGUAUGGCUAGAGUGUGUCAGAGGGGGGUAGAAUUCCACGUGUAGCAGUGAAAUGCGUAGAUAUGUGGAGGAAUACCAAUGGCGAAGGCAGCCCCCUGGGAUAACACUGACGCUCAUGCACGAAAGCGUGGGGAGCAAACAGGAUUAGAUACCCUGGUAGUCCACGCCCUAAACGAUGCUGACUAGUUGUUCGGGAUUUUAUCCUGAGUAACGUAGCUAACGCGUGAAGUGAGCGCCGUGGGUAGGUAGGUUCGCGAGAGUUAAACGUAACAAGAGUUAGAGGCGNGAGAGAGCGACGACGACGACGACGGAGGAGGAGG
rnacentral:rRNA from 1 species